UACGUAGGGGGCAAGCGUUGUCCGGAAUCAUUGGGCGUAAAGAGCGUGUAGGCGGCCCGAUAAGUCCGCCGUGAAAGCCCAGGGCUCAACCCUGGGAUGCCGGUGGAUACUGUCGGGCUAGAAUCCGGAAGAGGCGAGUGGAAUUCCUGGUGUAGCGGUGAAAUGCGCAGAUAUCAGGAGGAACACCGAUGGCGAAGGCAGCUCGCUGGGACGGUAUUGACGCUGAGACGCGAAAGCAUGGGGAGCGAACAGG
rnacentral:rRNA from 1 species